CAAUCCCCAAAUCGAACAACUCCACAACCCUAACCCGUGUUGUGUCGCUGCCCACCUCGCGCUCGAUCCACGGUCCGGACGCCAUUGCCGCCGGCCUCGCGCUCGAUCCAAAGUCCGGCCGCCAUCGCCGUCGCCCUCGCGCUCGACCCCGUCAUCAAGCCGUCGUCCCGGAGGUCGCACCCCCCUCCCCCAAGCUCCACCCCACAUCCACCCAUCCUCGCACUCUGCCCCUCCACCCGAGAUCGAGCCACGGUCCUCGCACUCCACAAUCCGACGGCCGUCCUUGUGUCCUCCUGACAUCCAGCCGUCGUCCUCGCAAAUCUCCAUCCCUGCUACCUCCGGGGCUCCAUCGUCGUGCUCCCGCUCCUGCCGGAUCUGCUGCUACCGGGGCUCCAUUGCCGGCCUCCCGCUGCUGCCGGACAUGUUGAUGCCACGGGAUCCAUCUCCAGGCUCAUUACGCUGCUACCGGACCUGCUGUCGGGGCUCCAUCUCCUUCGAGUUGUGCCCCUCCAAAAGCCAUCCGUCCCCGUGCCUUGAGAUACUUGGCAAAUUUGAUAUUAAUGGUGCAUCAUGGACAAAACGUGGUUGUCUAAGCCUAGGUACAUCAAAGUUUCCUUUUUCCCGAACUCAUAAGCGGUAUAAUUAUGUAAUGAACUGUUCUGAUAUCUCUGUUUGUGGUGAUUGGGUACAUGAGUCGACAACGAAGCUCGGCGACGUGAUAUGGCGCUCGGUGUAGGUGGCCAUGGUGGACCUGAAGCUAGCUGAGAUAAGCGAUGGGGAAACCGGAGACUGAAUUUACCAACAUGGAAGGAUUCCUCAAGAGCACAUUAGCACUUGAAGCUGCUGCUGUCGCAGCUCUACAAUUUUUCUUCUUUCCGGACGCCUGAUAGCCCGAGCAUGCAAUAGCAGCAGCACGAGCAGGCCGUGAUGUGCAACAUCAGCAGAGCGCUCUCAGUGCAGCGGAACUACUCGGGCGUCUCUGACGACAGCAUAUUUGAUACUGAAGUUGAAGAUUGUAGCACGACAUUCGUACUAGUGAGAAUUACAUAUCAAAGAUGCCAAGAAGACAACUAAUGUGCCAGGAGGUGCAGGUACUA